AUUGAACGCUGGCGGCAUGCCUUACACAUGCAAGUCGAACGGCAGCACGGGAGCAAUCCUGGUGGCGAGUGGCGAACGGGUGAGUAAUAUAUCGGAACGUGCCCAGUCGUGGGGGAUAACGUAGCGAAAGCUACGCUAAUACCGCAUACGAUCUAUGGAUGAAAGCGGGGGAUCGCAAGACCUCGCGCGAUUGGAGCGGCCGAUAUCAGAUUAGGUAGUUGGUGAGGUAAAGGCUCACCAAGCCGACGAUCUGUAGCUGGUCUGAGAGGACGACCAGCCACACUGGGACUGAGACACGGCCCAGACUCCUACGGGAGGCAGCAGUGGGGGAAUUUUUGGGACAAUGGGCGCAAGCCUGAUCCAGCAAUGCCGCGUGCAGGAUGAAGGCCUCGGUGUAACUGCUUUUGUACGGUAACGAAACGGUAGGAGCUCUAAUAUAGUUUGUC
rnacentral:rRNA from 1 species